UACGUAGGGUGCAAGCGUUGCUCGGAAUCACUGGGCGUAAAGGGCGCGUAGGCGGAUCUUUAAGUCGGGGGUGAAAGCCCAGGGCUCAACCCUGGAAUUGCCUUCGAUACUGUUUGGCUAGAGACCGGAAGAGGUAAGUGGAACUGCGAGUGUAGAGGUGAAAUUCGUAGAUAUUCGCAAGAACACCAGUGGCGAAGGCGGCUUACUGGUCCGGUUCUGACGCUGAGGCGCGAAAGCGUGGGGAGCAAACAGG
rnacentral:rRNA from 1 species